rnacentral:rRNA from 1 species
GAGUUUGAUCAUGGCUCAGAUUGAACGCUGGCGGCAGGCCUAACACAUGCAAGUCGAGCGGAUGACGGGAGCUUGCUCCUGGUGGCGAGUGGCGAACGGGUGAGUAAUGCAUCGGAACGUAUCCUGGAGUGGGGGAUAACGUAGCGAAAGUUACGCUAAUACCGCAUAUUCUGUGAGCAGGAAAGCGGGGGACCUUCGGGCCUCGCGCUCUUGGAGCGGCCGAUGUCGGAUUAGCUAGUUGGUGAGGUAAAGGCUCACCAAGGCGACGAUCCGUAGCAGGUCUGAGAGGAUGAUCUGCCACACUGGAACUGAGACACGGUCCAGACUCCUACGGGAGGCAGCAGUGGGGAAUUUUGGACAAUGGGGGCAACCCUGAUCCAGCCAUGCCGCGUGAGUGAAGAAGGCCUCGGUUGUAAG